GAAGAGCCAUGCUGAGCAUGAAAGAUCAACUGGAAUUGAACACUGGAAACUGUUUCUUUCCAUCCUGGGAAAAAGAAAACUGCACUUCACCAUCAACCUGGUUGCAUUCAUGGCUAUGGCUUCCUGCUCUGCUAGAGUCUUCUGCCAUCUACAGAAGGAGAAGCAAUAUUUGGAAGGCUGCUUAUGAAUCCUAUGGACAUUUGACCAGUUGUGUCAAAGCCCAGAAAGUCUGCCUACAUCUUUGAGAUGAUUUCUGGUUAUUCCUCCCAGAUGUGGAAAAAUAUGGGCGCUCAAACUUCCAUCUAUCAAGUCAUUGGAUAAACACAGCAGCAACAUCUGUCAAGGCCCCAAUGGACUAGAGCCGGAAUAAGACAAAACACAUCUCUCUGGGAUACAGAAUUCCUCCAGAAAAUGACACUGUCUUUUAAAGUAAUAUUUUAUUUAUUAUUAUUUUAUUAUUAUUUAUUUUAUUAAAUUUCUAUACCGCCCUUCUCCCGAAAGACUCAGGGCGGUGUACAGCCAAAAUAAAACACAGAAUAUAUACAAUUAAAAGAAUUUAAAAUGAACUAUUACUAUGCGGCCGAUAAUUAAAACAUUUAAAAAAUUUAAAAUAUUAUUAAAACCCCAAUUUAAAAACAACUAUUUAUGCCAGUUCUGCUUGAAUGAAUAAAUACGUUUUAAGCUCACAACGAAAGGUCCGAAGAUCAGACACUUGACGUAAGCCAGGGGGGAGUUCGUUCCAGAGUGUUGGUGCUCCCACAGAGAAGGCCCUACUCCUGGGGGCCGCCAGCCGACAUUGUUUGGCGGACGGCACCUUGAGAAGGCCCUCUCUGUGAGAGCGUACGGGUCGGUGGGAGGCAUAAGGUAGCAGCAGGCGGUCUUUCUAGGAUGUUUCUAGGAUGUUGUUUAAAUACAGAUUUUCAGCAGCUUGGUUCUCCUCACCUAGAACAUUUUUUUUUCUUUUCAUAAACAUUAGCCACAUGUUGGCCCAAAAUGUUUUAAAUCACUACGGGUGAAAUCCAUUGAUAGGGCUGAGAAGUUUGAAUGCUUUGGUGGCUUUAAAAAAAAUGAUCUAUUUCAAAAUCAUUUUAGUUCAUUCACUAAAUCUGAAGAUCUUAUUUUCAACUUUUUUAAAAAAAAAACUGAAGAUAGUUUGAACAGAGAUCAGGGUUUUUCUAUAGCUGGUUAAACCAGCUUUGUGACUUUUAUUUAUUUAUUUUAUUUAUUUAUUUAUUAAAUUUUUAUACCGCCCUUCUCCCGAAGGACUCAGGGCGGUGUACAGCCAGAAUAAAAACAAAAUAUAUACAAUUUAAAACAACAUUUAAAAGAGCAAAUUUUAAAGGCUGAUUAUUAAAAUUUAGAUUUAAAAAUUUGAAAAUUUUUUGCUAUUGUUUCAACCAUUUGCCCACUCUGUCUAAAGAACACAAGAAAUCUUGAUGAAAAAACAGUGAAAUAUGACUUCUUUUUAAAAUCACUUUGAAUGUGGAUUCCUCUGCCUCUGGCCUGCAUUUUAAUGACAGUCAUUAAAGCAAUUAAUGCUGGCAUAAGAGAAAGCUUUUUUGAAAAUUCACUGCUGCUUUAGGUCAAGUCAAUUGUUAGGUUGAUGAAAUUAACAUUAAAACUUCCUUUAUCAAAAAUGAAGGUGGGUGUACUGAGACAGGACUCUUAGUGAAUCUCCUUCCAAAAAACAUUUCACUCUCCAAGGAUGUGUCAAAGAAAAAAGGGGUACUUCCAGACAAAAUUAAUGGCUUUGAAGAUAUUUGCAUAUAUUUGAAAACAUUUAUCUUAAAAUCUGACUUUUAUUGAGCACCAAGAAAUUCUGGGUUCCAUCUGGAAAACAUGAAUGGCCAAGAAAUUCAGCAAAUUUGUCCAAGUCAUUCAUACCAUCAGCCCAAGUGAUGUCACAAUGCAAUGCUUGCUCACAUUAGUCCUUGAGAUUAGGGACAAAUGCCAAUAUUGGAGGCACAGUUUAAUAUACUAUUAAAAUUCUUUGUGUCUAUGACUUCUAACUGGAUGAAACUAAGCAUCACAGGGCAACAGAUGAUUUGAACCAAGGUACCUCAAAUGGGCUAAUGUACAGAAUGCAUCCAAAAUCUGGGAUCCAAGAUUUCUGUGGAACUAACAUUUGGCAAAUUUCAUAAAACAUUUUAUGAUACAGUACAAAAUGCCAUAAAAUAUUUCCUGUGGUCAACUGCUAACGUUUGACUUUGUUAUACAGUACAACAUGGGUUACUUGCAAGAUGUACUCUGAAUAUCUCCCUGAAUUUUUAAGAAUUUUUCUAAUACAUUAGAAGCUCUGCCCUCGUUGAAGAUAUGUAGGAAUCCAGUAAAGGAAAUAUAUUUGAAACAGUGACCCAGCAUGUCAUGGGUUGCAUAGUUUUCACUCAUGCCAAGAACAUCUCUUAGUGGAGAACUUUGAAUGGAUGCAUGAGAAGUCAUGCAGGAGACCAGAGGGAUAUUCACAUGGCCACCUCAUCACUGCAAGAAUUCUACAUUUCAUCAGGAUAAUUUUCUUCCCCUUUGAAAGGACUUUAAAAGCAAAUUAUUGUUAACCAGUUGAACAUUGUUUAGUUUAGGGCACACUUUCAUGCAUUAGAUGCAACUUGGCUUUUUCAGAAAGUUCUGGGCACUAACAAAAGCUGUUGAUUGCUGUUAUGCUUGUUUUGUUCUUUUCUAUUGUUUUGUGAUCUUUCCUUUGUUCUUUCUUUGACCUACAACUGCUGCAAUUAGCCACUUUAGAUUGAUUCCAACAAGAACUGUUAGCUGCACAUCUUUAAAACAUGUAGCUAGAUAAAAUAGAGUAGAGGAACACAUAGUCUGUCAGUGCAACCACUAUCCCUAUCUGACACUUAUAUUUCCAUAUGUUUUACACAGGACUGCAUUAGACAAUAAAAGAGUCUAUUUGGCCUUGUGGUUAAAGGUACCAAGCUAGAAAUUGAGACCCUGAUUUCCAGCCCUCCCUUAGAAUGGAAGCUGGUGGUGGUUUGGGGCCAACUGUGCUCUCUCUGAACCAACCCAGCUCACAGUUUGAUGUCCUGAGCAACAUAGGAUGUGGAAAUAUACAUACGCCACUCUGAAUGGUACAAAUAAAAGUGGGAUGUAUACAUCUAAUUAUAAACAAACCGUAUUAAAGAAUUGUAGAACUGAUUGAUGCUUAAUUAGAGGAGAAAAGAACCUGAGAAACUCUGUGCUCGAUCGCGUCAACAUUUCUUCCCAUCCAUCAUCUUGUUUCCACAAUGGCCCAAUCACAUGCCAUUUGGAAGGCCACCAACAAAUUAGUACAAUGGCAUUCACAAACACCUGUGUUCCUCAGUGAUUAACAGGAGAAUUAUUGGACUCUCUCAGAUUCCAAACAAACCUGUCGCCAGGAGUAGAAUGCUUUCUUCAUUCCUAACUUAAAACAUGUUUUGUUAACUAUUGUCACACAGUUUCUCAAAGGUCAAAUCUUGGCUCUUUGUAGAAAAGUCAGACCAGUGGUGAAAUCUGAACCGGUUUACUAUCGGUUUGCUGGCUGCCUUCACGUACUACCAGGUACAAAGUGCAGGCGCGCAUGCGCACAGUGCAUGCCAAAAGGAGGCAUGGGGUAAGUAGAACAGUGUGCAUAGGGGGAUAAUCAGCUGUGGCGCGCGAUCUUUUUUUUUACUUUUAAAAGCAUUUUUUUACAACCUAUUCAGCUGAACAGGUUGUAAAAAAUGCUUUAAAAGUUAAAAAAAGGCUCUGAUGAUCAAGCAGGUUAUGAAUGGCAUGAAGAUGUAAAAGGUUGUGAGAGGCUGGAAAAAGCAAUAAAUCUAACAAUCAAGACAUAGAUGGCAAAUCAACAGACAACUUAUAAAUGGCAACUCAGUCCAUGUCAGCCAAGAUCUCCAGCAUGGGUUUUCCCUUUGAUGCUUGCUUGCUAUUGGCUGCCAUAGUAACGGGGGCAUGGCAUUGGGGUUGGGGAAGUGAGCUGGUGUGAAGACAGCCCACGUGAAUAAAAAGUGAGGUUUGCUUUCAUGAAUUAUUGCGCAGCUGAAUGGGGAUUGGACAUUCAGCCUGGCUCCCUGGGGGAGGGGGGGAUUUGGGGAAACUUUCAAUAUGUAACAUUCAUGCCUGUUCACUCAAAUCUUGAUUUUCUUUUGCUGAUAUCAUUUCAAACUCAGUAAAAGUACCUCUUCUCUACUUCAAUGGAGUUGGAGGUUUUCUUUCUUGGGAUUUGAACAGAGGCAAACAUGAAAGUCUAGGUCAGCGAUGGCUAACCUUUUUGCCAACAUGUGCC